GAUGAACGCUGGCGGCGUGCUUAACACAUGCAAGUCGAACGGGAAACCUUUUAUUGAAGCUUCGGCAGAUUUAGAUUGUUUCUAGUGGCGGACGGGUGAGUAACGCGUGGGUAACCUGCCUUGUACAGGGGGAUAACAGUCAGAAAUGACUGCUAAUACCGCAUAAGCGCACAGGACCGCAUGGUCCGGUGUGAAAAACUCCGGUGGUAUAAGAUGGACCCGCGUUGGAUUAGCUAGUUGGUGAGGUAACGGCCCACCAAGGCGACGAUCCAUAGCCGACCUGAGAGGGUGACCGGCCACAUUGGGACUGAGACACGGCCCAAACUCCUACGGGAGGCAGCAGUGGGGAAUAUUGCACAAUGGGCGAAAGCCUGAUGCAGCGACGCCGCGUGAGCGAAGAAGUAUUUCGGUAUGUAAAGCUCUAUCAGCAGGGAAGAUAAUGACGGUACCUGACUAAGAAGCACCGG
rnacentral:rRNA from 1 species